ACGAACGCUGGCGGCGUGCCUAAUACAUGCCAGUAGAACGCUGAAGAGAGGAGCUUGCUCUUCUUGGAUGAGUUGCGAACGGGUGAGUAACGCGUAGGUAACCUGCCUUGUAGCGGGGGAUAACUAUUGGAAACGAUAGCUAAUACCGCAUAACAAUGGAUGACACAUGUCAUUUAUUUGAAAGGGGCAAUUGCUCCACUACAAGAUGGACCUGCGUUGUAUUAGCUAGUAGGUGAGGUAAUGGCUCACCUAGGCGACGAUACAUAGCCGACCUGAGAGGGUGAUCGGCCACACUGGGACUGAGACACGGCCCAGACUCCUACGGGAGGCAGCAGUAGGGAAUCUUCGGCAAUGGGGGCAACCCUGACCGAGCAACGCCGCGUGAGUGAAGAAGGUUUUCGGAUCGUAAAGCUCUGUUGUAAGUCAAGAACGGGUGUGAGAGUGGAAAGUUCACACUGUGACGGUAGCUUACCAGAAAGGGACGGCUAACUACGUG
rnacentral:rRNA from 1 species